CACCUCUAGCAUUUCAAGUAUUAGCAUUGCCUGCCCAGUGACUAUAGUUAAACGGCCGCGGUAUCCUGACCGUGCAAAGGUAGCAUAAUCAUUCCUUAAUUAGGGACUAGUAUGAACGGCUAAACGAGGGCUCAACUGUCUCUUAUUUUURAUGAAAUUGACCUUCCAAAGAGGCUGGAAUAUGACAAUAAGACGAGAAGACCCUAUGGAGCUUAAAUUAAUAAACUUAAUUACUGUCUAACUACCCUAAUGGAACUAACAAAGAAAAUAUAAGCUUAAAAUUUUGGUUGGGGUGACCUCGGAGAAUAAAAAAUCCUCCGAACGAUAAAUAACCUAGACUUACAAGUCAAAGUAGACUGACUAUCCAAUUGACCCAAAAAUUUGAUCAACGGACCAAGUUACCCUAGGGAUAACAGCGCAAUCCUAUUUAAGAGUCCAUAUCGACAAUAGGGUUUACGACCUCGAUGUUGGAUCAGGACCCCAAUGGUGCAGAAGCUAUUGUUCGU
rnacentral:rRNA from 1 species